AGAGCGAACGCUGGCGGCAGGCUUAACACAUGCAAGUCGAGCGGGCACUUCGGUGUCAGCGGCAGACGGGUGAGUAACGCGUGGGAACGUACCUUUUGGUUCGGAACAACACAGGGAAACUUGUGCUAAUACCGGAUAAGCCCUUACGGGGAAAGAUUUAUCGCCGAAAGAUCGGCCCGCGUCUGAUUAGCUAGUUGGUGAGGUAACGGCUCACCAAGGCGACGAUCAGUAGCUGGUCUGAGAGGAUGAUCAGCCACAUUGGGACUGAGACACGGCCCAAACUCCUACGGGAGGCAGCAGUGGGGAAUAUUGGACAAUGGGCGCAAGCCUGAUCCAGCCAUGCCGCGUGAGUGAUGAAGGCCCUAGGGUUGUAAAGCUCUUUUGUCCGGGAAGAUAAUGACUGUACCGGAAGAAUAAGCCCGGCUAACUUCGUGCCAGCAGCCGC
rnacentral:rRNA from 1 species